rnacentral:sRNA from 1 species
AACGACCGGGCAGGAUUCUCAAGCAGUGAAAAGGCCGGUCAGGCGGUAGCGUUCGCGCUGUGCUCAUCAGGUAGAUUUUCUCUUCCUUGAUUUUCCGCAGGGCAGAUCGCCCUUUUCUUUCAUUCAGAUCGAGGACACAGACAUGAGUACCGGUACCGUGAAAUGGUUCAACGACGCCAAGGGUUUUGGAUUCAUCACGCCUGACGACGGCGGCAAAGACCUCUUCGUUCACUUUUCUGCCAUCCAGGCCGGCGGCUUCAAGUCGCUGAAGGAAAACGACAAGGUGCAGUUCGACGUGGGCCAGGGCGCGAAGGGUCCGAACGCCACCAACGUCAAGCCGCUGUAAUGAGGCAGGCAGGCUGAAAAAGGCCCGGACUUCCGGGCUUUUUUUGU